CGAUCAGAGCCGGCCACACGAUGGGAAUACCACCGUCCAAUGAUACGUUUACCUGGGAAGAUGUCAUUGCUCAUAACAAGCACGAUGACAAGUGGCUCGUGAUCGAGGGGAAGGUCUAUGACAUAACUAACUGGUCCAGGCGUCAUCCCGGAGGAAGUCGGGUCAUCAGCCAUUUUGCUGGACAAGAUGCCACUGAUGCCUUCCGAGCAUUCCACAAUGACCUCGGCAAUGUGAAGAAGUACCUAACACCCAUCUACAAAGGGGAUCUCCGCAAAGGGGAGUACGUUGUGAGGGACAUGGACAAAGAUUUCAGGGAAGUUAGAGCAACUGCCGAGAAAAUGAACUUGUUCAAACCAAAUUUUUGGUUCUACUUCUUCCACCUUGGUCAUAUAUUGGCCUUGGAGGCAAUGGCCUACUUGGUCAUGCACUGGUACGGCACAGGGUGGAUCCCCUGGACAAUCUCUCUGCUGUGCUACUCCACAGUUCAGGCCCAAACUGGCUGGUUACAGCAUGACUUUGGCCACCUCUCAGUCUGCAAGUCCUCUUUCUGGGAUCAUCGUUUUCAUGACUUCGUCAUGGGAUUCAUCAAGGGCGCAUCCAGACAAUGGUGGAACCAUAUGCACUAUCAGCAUCAUGCAAAACCAAAUGUGAUGGACAAGGACCCUGAUGUCCGUAUUGACAAAUUGUUUGUGGUUGGAGAUGUGAUGCCAGUAGAGAAAGCCAAAGAGAAGAAGCAGACCAUGCCCUAUAACCUGCAGCACAAGUACUUCUUCUUAAUCGGCCCACCACUGCUGUUUCCGGUGUACUUCCAGUUCAUGUUGAUCAGACACAUCAUAACCCGGAGAGCUUGGAGUGACCUUUUCUGGAUGAUGACUUUUUUUGUCAAAUUUAUCUACCUUUACUACCCUCUUCUUGGUUUGAAGGGAGUUAUAGUGUACUACUUCCUGAUGAGGUGUUUGGAGAGUCACUGGUUCACGUGGGUGAGCCAGGCUAAUCACAUCCCCAUGGAGAUUGAUCAUGACAGUGCUAAACCCUGGCUCAAACUUCAGAUGCAUGCCACCUGUAACAUUGAGAAGUCCUUCUUCAAUGAUUGGUUUACUGGCCAUUUAAAUUUCCAGAUUGAGCAUCACUUGUUUCCCACCAUGCCCCGUCACAACUUGUAUAAAAUCCAGCCUCUGGUAAAAUCUGUCUGCCAGAAACACGGAAUAGAUUACCAAGUAAAGACGUUGUCAGGGGCAUUUGUCGACAUUGUACGGACCCUGAAGCACUCUGGAGAACUGUGGUAUGCAUCAUACCAUGCCUACCACGUGUCCUAAUUGGUCAUGACCGGUAUUGAUGAAUAUUCAUUGUACCACUUCUGACACCAGCAACAACAACUUAAAAACUACAACAACAACAGAAAUGGAUCUGUCUGUGUAUGUUUCAAGGCUCUCUGAUCAAGUGUAAUAGUUUGUGUGGUAUGAUAAUUUCACAACCCGGUGAUUUGUUCUGAAAAGGUGUGAAAAACAAGGGGUGAAUUGUUCAUUUGUGGAAAUAUUUUAUAUCAUUUUGGUAAUCCUGGUGAAUGAAAUUUUUUGUAAGGAAAAUUAUGUUGAUCACAGAGAAAGAAAAAACAUUGAAGAUAAUGUUGAACAUAUGAAAAGACGAAAUGAUCUGUUAUGUUCUUGUAGGAAGUUAAUAUUCUUGAUUUUAAUUUUGAUUAAGUUGGCUUGUUUCUGAAGGUUUCUGGCUUGUUUCUGAAGGUUUCGGGCUGGUUUCUGCAGAGCUCUGACCUGACUAUAGGGCUCAGUCUGAUUUCUGUUUGGUUCUGUCUGAAUUCAUCAGUGUUGUGACUGGUUUUCUCAGUUCUAACCGGUUUUCUGUAGGGCUUUGACUGGUUUUCUCAGUUUUGGCUGGUUUUCUGUAUGGGUCUGACUGGUUUGCUCAGUUUUAACUGCUUUUCGUAAAGUUCUGACAGGUUUCCUCUCUCACCACAGGCCUACAUGAAAAAAACACAAGAAGAAAGGAAAAUGAAUUAUUCCUAAGUGUGAUAUAAAACACAAAAAAACAAACAAUGAAAUGAAGAGUUGGAAUUAAGUGACAUAUAAUAUAGUCAAAAAUAAUAAUAAGUUAUAACACCGGUGAAAUAAAUAAUAAAAUACAUGUAAAUUAAAAAAUUUGUUAAGUAUCGCUAUAAUACAUGUAGCUUUCAGUGUUUUACUAGCAUAGCAGUUUAUUGUACUUUUGUUAUUGGUCUAUUCGUUCAGGGUGUAGUCUGACAUGUUAAGUAAGAAUUUAUGCAAUGCUUAUAAUGAUGAUUUAAGACAUAUUUAUUCAGCUUGUUAUCUGUUCCUAUUAUGUAAACAUGUACACUUUAGCAAGACCAAAUUUGUGCACCAAGUGAACUUUUUGCAUUACUUUGGUAAAUUGUAAGAUCUUUUGUAAACAGAUUUUGUUGUUAUUGACAAAGUGGUUAUUGUUACUAUGGGAACCAUUGUUGAUGAAUAUUGAUUAGCAAAAAUUGCUAUGCAUAGAUCAUAGAAUGCAUUUUAGGUACAUAUACUAGAAAUGGUACUAGUGAUGUUUUUGAGUAAUAAAUACCAAAAAAUGUCUGCCUUGAAAUAUUGUAGGAAUCUGCCUGAACAAAGUGUACAAUGUACUUAUAUGUAAAUGUACAUCUUUGAUCUAAUACCUACAUAUACCCUAAAAUACAGAUAGCAGUUGUUUUUCUCUCUCUUUAUACUAUUUUGACCAGUCUGUUUUGUCAGUUCUUGGAAAACAUGUUCAAGCUCAUUUAUAAAUGUGAUCUGAAGUUAAAUGAAGAUAAGACUGUCAAAUAAUUGUCAGUAUGUUGAAAAUGAAAAACCAUUGCCUACUGUCCCCCAUACCAAGGCGAUUUAUUUAUUUGUAAUUUUGUAUCAUUUAAUGCAGAGAUUGUGGUUGUAAAGGAGGUAAAGUUAUGCCGAAAAAAGGAGAAAUUUUGUCUUGUCAGUUUUUGAGGCAUAUUCUCUGUUUUCCUCUAUAUUUUACUCUUAUUUUCUGUCAGUGGCUACAAAUGAUCAAAUGAACCUAUGGGAAACGCUGAGUCAUCUCAGUGGCCACCAUUCUGACUCCUAUCCCCAACAGUGACUCUUAUCCCCAACAGGGUUGUUUUGACAGCUAUCACCACCAACAUCAUAACUACAGACUACAUUUCUGGACUGAUUUCUGGGGCCUUAGAAAAACUAGUUUAAAGCUGUUCUGAUGCUUCAUGGCAAAAAAAAAAAACAUUGAAAAGCUUAUUUUGCACUUUUCUGUGUUAGAACACAUCCUAAACAGCAUGAUAGAACGAAAACCAAACAUUGUCUAAAUCCUUUAAAGCUCCAAAGGUAGAAAAAAGGUAGAAAUUCUCCUUUAAGGCAAGAUUGUCACUAAUUCAUGUAACAUGACAAGUUUGUUGACAAAACAUGUUGACAACCAUCUCUUUGUGCUGAUACUGUGCCUGCUUGAGUUACUAGAUUUGUUAUACAUUUUUUUUUUUGGCAAAAUCAUGAAUGCAAUUAACAGAAACUUUAAAUAUUAAAAAUUUGAGUACCAUCACGUUUGAGAAUUUUCUUUUCUUUAAACUAACUUAGUUACUGUAAACUUUAUUAGUGGAAUAACUGUUGUAUUCAAUUUUUUAUUUAUUUAGACAAAAGGUAAUAACAACCAAUCCUUCAUUAAAGUGUUAUAUUUUAUGAUAAUUAGGUGUACUGUAAAUACAUCUUGCUGCAUACAGUGUUCGUCUUUUAGGACUUAAAGAAACGUUGGGUUGCUAAGUAAACUUUAACAUGCUAUUCUCAUCUCCAAGAUGCUUAAUCUACAAGUUUUCACCCAAAACACCAUCGCUGUACUGCAUGUUGAACGAAAAGUAUAGUUUGAACAUUUCUAUUUACGUACAUGCAGUAAAAGUUUCCACCAAAAACACCAUCCAUGUUGCUUGUUGAAUGGGAGGUAAAGUUUGCACAUGUGUAAAUUUCUGUUGAGAUGCUUGCACUGAAUAUGUUUACCAAAAACACCGUCCUUGUACUUGUUGAGUGGGAAAUAAAGUUAACAUGCAUAAAUUUCUAUUGAGAUACACAACCAGUGUGUUCCAAAAACACCAUCUGUGUUGCUAGUUGAAUGGGUAGUAAAAGUUUGCACAUGUGUAAAUUUCUAUUAAGACACUUGCACUACAAAACAUCCCAGUAUUAUAGUUGUUGAAUAACCAGUACGGUAACAUUUAUUUUUAGGUAAGAGGAAUGACACACGAGUAAAGUCAGCACUUUAUUAUUAUUCAGGGUAUUUAUUAUUCAUAGCAUUGACAAGAUUUCAAUUUGAUUCAUAUGGAAAGCGCUUGAAGAUAGUCUUUUGAUUCGAAGAGCUUAGCUUCCAAAACUCAUAUUAAACUAUAGUGUUGUUGCCAGUGUUCACAAUUUGUGUCAUUGCAUUGGGUUAACAUUGUUGCCAAUUUGUGCCAUUGUGUUUCCGUUUAACCAAGGUAUUUGGAAUCGAUUUGUUAAAUGUUAAACCAAAGUAUGUUAAACCAAAGUAUGUUAAACCAAUGGGUACAAAGGCACAGUGGUUACAUUCAAUCAAAGUGUUCACAAUGGGUACAAAGGCACAGUGGUUACAUUCAACCAAAGUGUUCACAGUGUUUGCAAAGGCAUGCUGGUUGCAUUCAACCAAAGUUUUCACAGUGUUUGCAAAGGCAUAAUGGUAACAUUCAACCAAAGUGUUCACAGUGUUUGCAAAGGCAUGCUGGUUACAUUCAAUCAAAGUGUUCACAAUGGGUGCAAAGGCAUAGUGGUUGCAUUCAACCAAAGUGUUCACAGUGUUUGCAAAGGCAUGCUGGUUACAUUCAAUCAAAGUGUUCACAAUGGGUGCAAAGGCAUAGUGGUUGCAUUCAACCAAAGUGUUCACAGUGUUUGUAAAGGCAUGCUGGUUGCAUUCAACCAAAGUUUUCACAGUGUUUGCAAAGGCAUAAUGGUAACAUUCAACCAAAGUGUUCACAGUGUUUGCAAAGGCAUGCUGGUUACAUUCAAUCAAAGUGUUCACAAUGGGUGCAAAGGCAUAGUGGUUACAUUCAACCAAAGUGUUCACAGUGUUUGCAAAGGCAUGCUGGUUGCAUUCAACCAAAGUUUUCACAGUGUUUGAAAAGGCAUAAUGGUAACAUUCAACCAAAGUGUUCACAGUGUUUGCAAAGGCAUGCUGAUUGCAUUCAACCAAAGUGUUCACAAUGAGUACAAAGGUAUAGUGGUUACAUUCAACCAAAGUAUUCACAGUUACAGUAAUUGCACAAUUGAAAUCAGUGUGAAGUGUUUACAGUUGACCAAAGUGUGCAUGAUUGGAGUCAAUGUAGGGUGUUUAAAAAGGUUUUAAACAAAGAAUAACCACUCGUCCAUGUUAAAUAAGCAUCUUGCGAAAAGGUUGAAGAAUUGCAGUAUAAUAAUUGAUUUGUGAUGAUAUACGCAUUGAGAACUGGACAUUCAUAAAAGAUCUCAACCGUGAAAAUCUCUGUCUUAAUAAUGAACAAAUAGUUACGGGAGAAACUUUUAUUAAUGCAUAAAUAUAUUACUGAAAUGUACAGUGGGUGUACAAUCAAGAUGUUGCAUUUCAAUAGUAACGCACUAGUCCAAUUGGUUAUGUUCAAAUGUUUUUAAAAUCCGAAAAGCAUAGAAUAAUAUUUAGCAUAUUGGUAAAUGUUUGAACAAGUAAAUCAGGUGUCUUCUUUUUUAUGACUUAUUUUAUUUUUUUUUGAAUGAUUGCUUUUGUGCAUAGCAUUUACGUUAAAUUUCUUUGUAAGAAAAUGCCUUAAGAAAGUGCUAUAGAGAAUUGUAUAUUGUCUUUGUUGUAAAUGCAAGUGGAGGGUUUUUUUUUUUUCUUUUGUUUUUCUGUUUAGAAAUUUUAACCGUUUGUUAUGUAUACAUGGACAUGUAUAAGCUGAAGUGUUGGAUAUGGCAUGUCUUGUUACGGAUGUUCUGGCUGGUCAUUUCUGGAUUUUGUUUGCAUGUACAUCUACCCCAGAUGCUUUUGUGUUGAUGCUGCCAAUUGGCUCAUGUAAGUCAUAUCACCAGGCAGCCAAUCAGAGUUCAUUUUUUUCAAUUUCGGACAAAUACUUUGUUGAUGAAAACUUUUAUCAAGAUGUUGGGGAACUAUUUCACUUCGUUCAAUUCUCAGAUGAUUUGUUGCACUUUAUGAUUGUCUCAUUGGGGAGAUUAACUUAUGAUGCUGAAAAAUUAUACAGAUUUCUUUCUGAUUACAAUCUGGUUGAUUUUUCUCUAUUUUGACCUAACAUGCUCGUAGUCAAUGAUGUUUUCAUGAAUAGCUGCAAUGACCACAAUUCUCAUGUGCUCUGCCAGCUUUCCACCCACUAUAAU